rnacentral:rRNA from 1 species
GAUUAGUGGCGAACGGGUGAGUAACACGUGAGUAACCUGCCCCCGACUCUGGGAUAAGCCCGGGAAACUGGGUCUAAUACCGGAUAUUACCUUUGACCGCAUGGUUGUUGGUGGAAAGAUUUAUCGGUGGGGGAUGGACUCGCGGCCUAUCAGCUUGUUGGUGAGGUAAUGGCUCACCAAGGCGACGACGGGUAGCCGGCCUGAGAGGGUGACCGGCCACACUGGGACUGAGACACGGCCCAGACUCCUACGGGAGGCAGCAGUGGGGAAUAUUGCACAAUGGGCGAAAGCCUGAUGCAGCGACGCCGCGUGAGGGAUGACGGCCUUCGGGUUGUAAACCUCUUUCAGUAGGGAAGAAGCGAAAGUGACGGUACCUGCAGAAGAAGCGCCGGCUAACUACGUGCCAGCAGCCGCGGUAAUACGUAGGGCGCAAGCGUUAUCCGGAUUUAUUGGGCGUAAAGAGCUCGUAGGCGGUUUGUCGCGUCUGCCGUGAAAGUCCGAGGCUCAACCUCGGAUCUGCGGUGGGUACGGGCAGACUAGAGUGAUGUAGGGGAGACUGGAAUUCCUGGUGUAGCGGUGAAAUGCGCAGAUAUCAGGAGGAACACCGAUGGCGAAGGCAGGUCUCUGGGCAUUUACUGACGCUGAGGAGCGAAAGCAUGGGGAGCGAACAGGAUUAGAUACCCUGGUAGUCCAUGCCGUAAACGUUGGGCACUAGGUGUGGGGGACAUUCCACGUUUUCCGCGCCGUAGCUAACGCAUUAAGUGCCCCGCCUGGGGAGUACGGCCGCAAGGCUAAAACUCAAAGGAAUUGACGGGGGCCCGCACAAGCGGCGGAGCAUGCGGAUUAAUUCGAUGCAACGCGAAGAACCUUACCAAGGCUUGACAUGUGCCAGACCGCCUCAGAGAUGGGGUUUCCCUUCGGGGCUGGUUCACAGGUGGUGCAUGGUUGUCGUCAGCUCGUGUCGUGAGAUGUUGGGUUAAGUCCCGCAACGAGCGCAACCCUCGUUCCAUGUUGCCAGCACGUAAAGGUGGGGACUCAUGGGAGACUGCCGGGGUCAACUCGGAGGAAGGUGGGGAUGACGUCAAAUCAUCAUGCCCCUUAUGUCUUGGGCUUCACGCAUGCUACAAUGGCCGGUACAAUGGGUUGCGAUACUGUGAGGUGGAGCUAAUCCCUAAAAGCCGGUCUCAGUUCGGAUUGGGGUCUGCAACUCGACCCCAUGAAGUCGGAGUCGCUAGUAAUCGCAGAUCAGCAACGCUGCGGUGAAUACGUUCCCGGGCCUUGUACACACCGCCCGUCAAGUCACGAAAGUUGGUAACACCCGAAGCCGAUGGCCUAA